rnacentral:rRNA from 1 species
GACGAACGCUGGCGGCGUGCUUAACACAUGCAAGUCGAACGGAAAGGCCCUGCUUUUGUGGGGUGCUCGAGUGGCGAACGGGUGAGUAACACGUGAGUAACCUGCCCUUGACUUUGGGAUAACUUCAGGAAACUGGGGCUAAUACCGGAUAGGAGCUCCUGCUGCAUGGUGGGGGUUGGAAAGUUUCGGCGGUUGGGGAUGGACUCGCGGCUUAUCAGCUUGUUGGUGGGGUAGUGGCUGACCAAGGCUUGGACGGGUAGCCGGCCUGAGAGGGUGACCGGCCACAUUGGGACUGAGAUACGGCCCAGACUCCUACGGGAGGCAACAGUGGGGAAUAUUGCACAAUGGGCGGAAGCCUGAUGCAGCAACGCCGCGUGCGGGAUGACGGCCUUCGGGUUGUAAACCGCUUUCGCCUGUGACGAAGCGUGAGUGACGGUAAUGGGUAAAGAAGCACCGGCUAACUACGU